rnacentral:rRNA from 1 species
AUUGAACGCUGGCGGCAUGCUUUACACAUGCAAGUCGAACGGCAGCGCGGGCUUCGGCCUGGCGGCGAGUGGCGAACGGGUGAGUAAUGCAUCGGAACGUGCCCAGUAGUGGGGGAUAGCCCGGCGAAAGCCGGAUUAAUACCGCAUACGACCUGAGGGUGAAAGCGGGGGACCGAAAGGCCUCGCGCUAUUGGAGCGGCCGAUGUCGGAUUAGCUAGUUGGUGGGGUAAAGGCUUACCAAGGCGACGAUCCGUAGCUGGUCUGAGAGGACGACCAGCCAAUGGGGACUGGAGACGCGCCCGAGCCCCCUCGGGGGGGGGGAGGGGGGAAUUUUGGAAAAUGGGGGACAACCAUGACCAGCCCUGGCGGGGGGGGGGAAGAGGCCCUGGGGUUUAAAACCGGUUUUUGUCGGAGAAAAACCCCUCGGGCAAAAACCCCGGGGGGGAGGAGGGCACGGAAAAAAAAGACCCGGCCAAACAACG